GAUAAGUGCUAAAUAAUGCAUAAAUUAAUAUCUUAUUUAUAGCACUUAUCAUUAUUUUAAUUCACAUAUUUUGUAAAUUUAACUAAAAAUUGUAUUACCUUCAUGAUUGCAUUUCAAUAAAUUAUCCAAGGUAAUUCAAGUUUGAUUUGAUUAUUUAUUGAUUAAGCUUAAUGCAUGCAGGUCGAGUCGAGCUCAAUUAGGUAAAGCCUAAACGGACACUACAUCAUUUUACAAUUUCACAUUCUCCGGAGUCGACUUCAAGAACUCUUCUCCAAAAUCCAGUGCUUUCUAAGUUCACCUAAAUUUCUCCCCACUCGUUCCAACUCUUUUUC
rnacentral:lncRNA from 1 species